AUUUUUAUAUAUUAUAUUUGUUUUUAUUUUUGUUAUUACAAAGAAAUUGUAUCAUAUAGUAUAUAUAGAAUCUUUCCUUGACAUGAAAAUGUAGAGAAAGAUUCUUUCUAUAUAUCACAUUAGUAUUGUUUAAUCAAAAUAAUUAAUUGUUAAACAUGUUGAAUGCUGAAAUUGUAGUACCUAUGCCAACAAACAUCAGUCUUUUCUAUUAAAAACGAUUAUAGUUCAAACUUACAGGAUUUAUAAUGCUAGCGCGUUAUAAUAUACUAAUGAAUAGAUCUAAAAAACUAAGAUAUUGCAUUCAGCAAAUAAAAUAAUAAAAUAGCUCAAAUAUAUUAUAAAAAUUAUUAAAAUAUUAUAAAUAUUAUUAAAUAAGUAUAUAAAAAUCAUUAAAAUAACUUAAAAUAAAUAAUAAGUUGAUAAAAGAAACAAUAAUAAUUAAUAACUACAUGAUGAUUUAAGCUAAAUCAAAUAAAUGUAAUGAUAUUCGUAUCUGACAUGGCAAUAUUUAUAUAAUAAUUUUCUUUUUUAAAAUUAAAUUAGAACUUUAUUAUAUGUAUGUACAAAUUUUAUUAGUUCAGUAGAAGUAAAAGUUAUUUAUUAUAUUUAGUUACUUAUUGUAAGACACUAUUCCCAUCUUUUCACAUAUUUCGCAUUUUGACAUAUCAAUUUUUAAAAAUAGGCUUAUCAAUUAUUUAAGUAACAAUCUUAAAUAAUUUAAGAUAGAGUGCUGUGGAUCCUUACUAUCGGCGGUAAGUCAGUGACACGCUGUUAUUAUCAUUAUAUUUUAUUUUGUUCUUUUGUUUAAGAGAUGUGUGUUUCUGUUGUAGUCAAAUUGCUUACAAAAUGUAGUAUACAUUUCUUUGAUACUUUCAUUGUAUAGUAAUUAGUAUUUUAAUCUAAAAAAAAAGUUAAAUAAAGCAAUACUUUAUUUAAUGAUAGUGAUAUUUAAAGAUUAAUAAAACUUUUUCACAUAAAUAAUAUUUAAAUUACUUUUUGAAUAACGCUAAUUUUACAUUUGCAAUAUAGAAAAACAUAUCAAAUUUUUUUCAAUACUUGUGUUGUUAUUGCUAUUAUUUCUUAUCAAAAAAUAUGUACUAUUGCUUAUAAAUAUUAGCGUACUCGUCAAUUUUACUUUAUUAAAUAAGUAAUUUUAAAUAAUAUAAAAAUUUUUUAGGUGACUUAUUGUUUUUAUCGUUUCUUUCUUUUAUGUAGAUUUAUUUUGAAGGAAAAGAUUCGUAGAUGUUAAGAAUCAUUUUUAUAAUACAUUUAAAAAGGUAUGGCUGAACAAAUACUUAUGGUGUCAUUAGAAACUUAUAAAUAUCUCUUAUAAUUUUUCAAUGACAUAAGCAUCACGGCUAGUACCAGAAAUUACUGGUUUGUUUAAAUUAAUAGAAAUUUUAAUAUACAAAUUUAUCAAAUGUGUUUUCCAAGAAUUAUAUAUAAAAAA